UGCGCAAUUGUAACUUUGGUAGUUUGUCUACCUUUUCACAUUCAAAUUCCAAAAAUUCUCCUCUUGAAAACGAGGUCAGUAAUGUCAUGCUGUGCGUGCACAUGAAAGAAUUUUUAAUUAAUAGCACUUAUGUAUAGAGUCAUAUAGAAUUCAAUGAAUAACAUUAUUAUCUAACCUAACGUCUUCAUAAACGGGGUUGAUUUUAUCAUUAUAUUUUGUGAUUUACUGAUUUUAGUAAAAAUUUGAUAAGUUUAUUCAGAUAUUCAGGUAUUAUAGCGCCAGGAUGAGCUUACAUGAGCGGUUCGUUGAAUUUGUAUAGGUUUAAACCGGGCUUGAGUUUCAUAUUAUGAUAACAAAACAGUGUUGGUGUUUGACUGUAUGGCUAUAUCAUGCCACUAACUUUUCGACGAAGCCGAAGGGCCUUCGCUCCGAGGGUUGAAGUUCUGCUUUAUAUUUUUGAAGUAGUUUAAUAUCACCCCAGCUUUCUGUAUCAUAUUUCCAUGUCGAUAGCUCUGGAAUUCCUUUUAGAAACGAUAAUGCCGUAUUUUGUGUUCCCUUCGAUAAGGCGUUGUUGAUGUGAAAACGAUUUUUCCUUUUGGUCAAUUUCGUCAUGCGUUGGGUUGUGUGGACUCGUGUGCAUUACAUACGCUAGAAUAAGCUACCUCGACUUUCACUUAUGCAAUGUGUUUAGGCAAUACAUAUUAUUUAUAAUGCGGUAAUUAUCCUCGAAG